rnacentral:misc_RNA from 1 species
CAACCGAGGCCUAGUUGGUUUUCAACGACAAAUUAUGAGAGAGCAAGAUGAAGGCCUUGAGAAACUGGAAGGGACUAUAAUUAGCACAAAACAUAUUGCAUUAGCCGUCAAUGAAGAACUUAACCUUCACACGAGACUUAUUGAUGAUUUGGAUGAACAUGUCGAUGUUACAGAUUCCCGAUUACGGCGAGUGCAGAAGAGGCUGGCAAUACUGAACAAGCGGACCAAGGGUGGUUGCACUUGCAUGUCAAUGAUUUUAUCAGUUGUUGGGAUUGUCGUUCUUAUCGCUGUCAUAUGGCUACUGGUCAAGUAUUUGUAAUUCACCAUGUCUUGGUGUGAAUUGGCUUAAACAUAACCUUGUGGUGUAAGAUUCUGAUAUCUGCUGUUGUUCUUUGUGAAUUUGUGUUUUCUUUUUCUUUCUUUCACUUAACGUGGAGUGGAG